AAACAUAGCCCUUUCCAAUAUAAAAGGUGUUACCUGCCCAAUGGUUUAUAAAUAAAGAAAUAAAAAUACUAUAAAUACACUAAAAGGACGCGGUAUCCUGACCGUGAUAAUGUAGCAUAAUCAUUCGCCAUUUAAUUGAUGGAUAGUAUGAAUGGUAUAACGAAUAUAACACUAUCUUAAAAGAAAACCUAAUGAAAUUAGAUUAAUAGUAAAGAUACUAUUUUAAAUUGUAAGACGAGAAGACCCUAUAGAGCUUAACUAUAUCUCUUUUAAACCAGGUAAAUUAAUUUACCCAAUUAAAGAGUUAGGUAGUUUAGUUGGGGCGACUACUUUCUAAAUCCAACGAAAGUAAACAAUAUUAAUUAUUUAAUUUACUGUAUAACUUAUACGUUUAACAGUUAUUACUAUAGGUAAUAAUGACCCGUUAUUUAUGUAUAAUAACAAUAACGAUUAAUAAAUAAAAGCUACCUUAGGGAUAACAGGAUAAUCUUGUUCUAGAGAUCUUAUCGAAAACAAGGUUUGUCACCUCUAUGUUGAAUUGAGAUAUCCUGGAAGUGUAGAAGCUUCCAAAGGUAGGUCUGUUCGACCUAUAAAAUCUUACAUG
rnacentral:rRNA from 1 species